rnacentral:lncRNA from 1 species
AUCAUCAUAGCCCUCACUUAAAAUGUUCAGGAUUCUUUCCAACUCAGGUGCAUCAAAUUUCACCUUCACCCCCUUUAUUAUAUUGGUUACCAGCCCAUUCUUCACAAUACCAUUAGCCAUGAAUUCAAUCAAUUCUCUUCUGGAUAGUCUUUCAUCCAAUUGAAGGAGCAUUUCCUUCCAUCCUUAUGCAUCCAGUGCAGCCACCAAUCGGAUCAUGUCUAGCUCCUCCAGGUCUUUCAGCAAUCUACCCUUCAAAAUUUUCCUUCUACCAAAGAUGGCAAACCUGUCUUGUUCUUGUUCAGACUCACUUCUCCCACUUUUCUACUCCACUCUUCAUCCACAUCUUCCUCAACUUAUACUUGUUUUCCCUUUGCAGUUGACCUAGUUCUUUUAGCUAGAGAGGAUUCAGCAGGUACAGACUUGGAGGGAUUCUUUGCAAAAGACUUGGCUCCCUUUGAUUUAGCAAUGGGAACCUUUACAGUCGUACCCAUCUCUUGAUGGACCAGUUCCAUCUCUUCUUCUUACUUUUCUAAAGCAGCCUCAGAACUUUCAACAAUUUUUUCUUUUCCCUUUUCUUUCUUUUUUUUCUUGCUC